AAAAGCAGGGGAUCGCAAGACCUUGCGCUCUUGGAGCGGCCGAUGUCUGAUUAGCUAGUUGGUGAGGUAAAGGCUUACCAAGGCGACGAUCAGUAGCUGGUCUGAGAGGACGACCAGCCACACUGGGACUGAGACACGGCCCAGACUCCUACGGGAGGCAGCAGUGGGGAAUUUUGGACAAUGGGGGAAACCCUGAUCCAGCCAUGCCGCGUGAGUGAAGAAGGCCUUCGGGUUGUAAAGCUCUUUCAGCCGGAACGAAACGGUCACGGCUAAUACCUGUGACUACUGACGGUACCGGAAGAAGAAG
rnacentral:rRNA from 1 species